UCCCUCGCGAAAAGUUGCUUCCUUUGCUGAAUAUUGAUGGACACGCGUAUUAUGAUUUUUCUCCAGUGUCAGAAGUCCGGUUCGUGGUACUUGAUGGGUAUGAUGUCAGUGCCAUAGGCUGGCCCGAUGAUCAUCCGAACAGAAUAAAAGCCAUUGACAUUCUUAGAGAGAAGAAUCCGAACGUAGAUAAGAAUAGCCCCGAGGGACUUGUUGGGCCACCUAGAAGGUUCGUUCAGUUCAAUGGAGCAGUCGGGGAAGAACAGAUGGAGUGGUUGGAUUGUGUCCUUCAAGAUGCAAUGAAAUUGAACCAGAAAGUUGUGAUAUGCUGCCAUCUGCCUUUGGAGCCUCGUGCAACGUCUUUUGCUGCGUUGCUGUGGAACUACGAGGAAGUUAUGGAAGUGAUACACCGUUACAAUUGUGUGAAGGUCUGUCUGGCUGGCCAUACUCAUAAAGAUGGAUACUCGAUGGACUCCCAUGGCGUGCACCACCGGGUUCUUGCAGCAGCCUUGGAGUGCCCUCCGGGCACUGAUGCUUUUGGCUCCAUUGAUAUAUUCAACGACAUCUUGUUUGUCUCUGGCACAGACAGAAUGGGGGAUCAAGAAAUGCUUUUCAAUUGUUAGAUUCACCAUAAAGUUGUUGCCUUUGGCUCGGAUGCAGCGUAGCUAACUCGGGAAGAUGCUGAAAUUUCAUGGUGGACAUUAACAUAACCAAAUUCAUGAUAGGUACUCCACUGUCAAACUAUCAAAUAUUCUUGUUCUUGUUAUUUAAGAUAUCAAAUUCAUUUACUUAUUCCCUGUAUUAGCAAGAAUGAGACUCAUUACUAGUGUAUGCAAUAUCUUCUUUGAUCAUGUAGAAAGUUGGUUGAAUAAUGAGACAUAUCGAGACGUGUUACAGACCAUCACAUGUUACUACUCCCUCCUACAAAAGCCAUGUGGCAAACACGCGGCCCACUUGAUGAAACAUUCCAACAUAAGUUCUUAACUAACUUUGCAUUGCACCGUGUACUUUGUUAUUCUAUUUUCUUAUUUUAGUUGCACCACUGCAUUUUCAUAUGUUAUAAAGGCUACAGAUAGCCUUUCCUGGCUCAUCAGAGUCAAUAACCAGACAUCGAGCUCAUCAUUGGGCGAACCAGGGGACAUCUUAGAUGGUUGGACCCCCUUAUGGUGGAUGCAUCAAUAAUCAUGUCCUUACAUGAAGGUUGGCUAAACAUCAACAAUGUCGUGCUAUUUUUAUUCUUGAAUUGCAAUUCGGUUUCAUUAUUCUUAGUCGAAAUUGUGACAGUCUAUUUUUAGGUUGUGAGCCGAAUGGAGAAAUAAUUGCUGGUGCAGGUUGCGAGUAAAUUCUGCACUACACAUUUUCAGGUUUGCAUAUAUCAACAACUCUCAUGAGACUUGUUGAUUUGUAUUUUCUUUGGGAAGAUUAGUCGCAUCUGCGAUCAUUUGUGAUGGAAGAUGAAAUUAUUGAUGCUUAACAAAGACCAAUGUCGAUUUAAAGUAGAAAAUGUCGAUGAUGCUUACUCAAAUACAAUCAGGAAAAGAUGCAGAUUUUCUAUGAGAAACUUACAUGCGAGUCUACCAUAUUCGGGCAUAGACUUCUCGUUGCACAGAGCUUGUCUAGUACGAUUUGUUCUUCGUUUUGCAAGCGCAACUUCAGCUCAUAAAUUUCUUUUUGUCCAGUUUUAAGUUGGGAUAUUGAUAGAAUAGAGAGGUCAUAUUCAGUAGGAGCUACUUUUUUUGUUAUUAGUUUUCUCUAUGGUGUAUGGUGGAAAUAAAUGGUCUAUUUUGACGGCAACUAGUAAAUGCUGGUGGAGUUGAAAUCUUGAAAUGAAUAACAGGUUCAAAAUAAUUAUAUAAAUAAAAUUUAAUAGGUUACUAUAAAUACACAAAUAAUGAAAUAAUCAACCAUAGGUAAUAGUUAUUGAUAAAUAAAGCAAUUAUAAAUCAUAUUGUUAAUAUAAUUUGCCCUUUAACUAAAAUCUUAAUUGGGGUGAGCAAAACAAUCUAAACCAAAUAAUCGAACUGAUCAAAAUUGAAAUUUUAAAAUAUGUUUUGAUUUUUCGAUUUGGUUUAGUUUUAUCUUUCAAAAGAAUUUGAGUUUUCGAUUCGGUUCAGUUUUUGUAACCGAUCAAAACCAAAAACUAAAUUAUAUUUAUAUUACUAUAUAUAUAUAGGGUGUGGUUCUAGAGAUAACUACAUUAUUUGUGAGAACGUGAGAACCAUCAAAUCUAAUGCAUUCACUGUAAAAAUUAAUGCAUUCGCUGUUAAAAUUAAUACAUACAAAAAAAAAAAAAAAUUGCUCCUUCAGGAUUCGAACCCAGGAUCUGCAUUCAUCCAACAAGAUGAUACAUCCACCGUAGAUCAUAAUAAUCGAAUGGCUGAAAAUGGUUCUCCGUUUUUUUUUAUGGUUCUUUCUUGAACCUCUCCCUAUAUAUAUAUAUAUGUANAGAAGUCCGGUUCGUGGUACUUGAUGGGUAUGAUGUCAGUGCCAUAGGCUGGCCCGAUGAUCAUCCGAACAGAAUAAAAGCCAUUGACAUUCUUAGAGAGAAGAAUCCGAACGUAGAUAAGAAUAGCCCCGAGGGACUUGUUGGGCCACCUAGAAGGUUCGUUCAGUUCAAUGGAGCAGUCGGGGAAGAACAGAUGGAGUGGUUGGAUUGUGUCCUUCAAGAUGCAAUGAAAUUGAACCAGAAAGUUGUGAUAUGCUGCCAUCUGCCUUUGGAGCCUCGUGCAACGUCUUUUGCUGCGUUGCUGUGGAACUACGAGGAAGUUAUGGAAGU
rnacentral:lncRNA from 1 species